rnacentral:rRNA from 1 species
GAUGAACGCUGGCGGCGUGCUUAACACAUGCAAGUCGAACGGAAAGGCUCCUGCUUGCAGGGGUACUCGAGUGGCGAACGGGUGAGUAACACGUGGGUGAACUGCCCUGCACUUCGGGAUAUGCCUGGGAAACAGGGUCUAAUACCGGAUAGGACGAUGGUUUGGAUGCGAUUGUGGAAAGUUUUUCGGUGUGGGUUGGGCUCGCGGGUUAUCAGCUGGUUGGUGGGGUAAUGGCUUACCAAGGCGGUGACGGGUAGCCGGCCGGAGAGCGGGUACGGCGACCAGGGGACUGAGGUACGGCGCAGACGCCUACGGGAGGCAGCAGUGGGGAGUAUUGCGGAACGGGCGCAAGCGUGAUGCAGCGGCGCCGGGUGGGGGAUGACGGCCUUCGGGGGGUAAACAACUUUCGCUGGGGACGAGGCGCAAGUGACGGUACCUGGAGAAGAAGCACCGGCUAACUACGUG